GGGGCCGUAUUGGAUUUGACAGCGAUAGCAGUUGUUAAGUGCAAGCAUGUCGAGCCGUGUGGUGAGUCUCGUUAAACUCUGGUCACAAACCAUAAUUGACAAUACGUCAUACCAACUUGCUGCCUAAUUUACGGAAUGUAAAUUAAGCUUAAUCUAGUGGAAGCAUAGUACACAGACGAGUUCCUUCUCCUCCUUUUCCGCCUGAUAAUCGGAGGAACCAGAAGGACCAAUCAUUUCAGGAUAGCAAUCGUGAUACUUCUAAGCGAUUGUGAAACUUAGAAGAUAAGCGUGUUACUUGGGUGUCUUUGUCCGAUAGCACGUCGAAAACCGAAUCAUAGACUAAGCAUGUAGAAAGCUUGAGAAUUCGUCGUUUGGACGAGGGUUCGAACCCCUCCG
rnacentral:tmRNA from 14 species